rnacentral:lncRNA from 1 species
ACAGAUGGAACUCUCCAACAUGAAAAUCUGCGCAUCCAAUCCAACAAGCACGGCUCUGCCUGAGGUUGUCUGAAGGAUGCCGUGGGAAAAGACCAAAGAAUUGGGAGAGCUCUUACCCCAAGAUCGACUUUUUUUUUUUUAUCGGUCUGUACAACGAAGGUUGCCAUGGUCUUCUACUUCGCAUCCAAGGAUAUCUACUCAAGGAUAUGCUGAUAUCAAACCAGUUUCCAAGCAGAAAAUUCAUCUUGGAGGAAGAUAUUUUUCAAGAAAAAGUUACUUCAGCAGUUUAAAAAAAUUUUUUUGGAUGGUAGUAGUGGGUAUCAAACCCAUGGCCUCUUGUAUGCCAGGCAAGCACUCUACCACUGAGCCAUAUCCCCAAACAUUCCAGCAUUCUUUUAAAAAAUAUUUUCUCCUAUAGUAUCCUCCAGACUCUAAACUAAUAGUAGGUUUCUUAAGUUCAUCCAGAUCUCUCCUCCAUGUCAGAAUAUUCAGAAUACUCUGUGUGUGUGUGUGUGUGUGUGUGUGUGUGUGUGUGUGUGUGUAUGUGUGUUUGGGGGAGUAUACUAGGGAUUAAAACCAGGAACAUUCCCCACUUCUUUUAUUUUGAGACAGUCUUGCUGUGUUGUCCAGGCUGGCCUCAAACUUGCAGUCCUCCUGCCUCAACCUCCCCAGUAAUUAGAAAUUACAGGUGUUCAUGGUGUGUCUGGCCAUGUCUGUAUUCUUGGUCAUUUUGCUACCUUCUGGCUCCAAAGAUAAAGAAGAAAUAAUAAUAAAUGAAUAAAAAU